UUCUUUUCUUCCAUUUCAUAUAUGAAGAAGAAAUUUUGGGUAAUUCUCAUGGCAGAGAGAUUAAGGGGAUACUUCGUCUUGAGUGUUUUGAAACUAAAGAUUCAUUUUCUUCAGGCUAGAGGAUGCUGGUUAUGCCGUUUAGAGCGGGGGUUCUUGAACUUCUUUGUCAUAGAGAUAAGGUGAACGAAAGAAACGCUAUCGACGAAUUGUUAUUGUUAGGACAGAGGGUUGCGAAGCUUGAACGUUUACGGUAUGCGGAUUAUUAAAAAUAAUUCAAAUGAGUUUUUUGUCCAUGUUAAAAUAAAUAUUCUAUCCAGUUUUUUGGUAUAAUUAGGCAGCUUGAAUCACACGAUAAUAAGAUUACUUAUAGCAAAUGUUCUUCAUUCAAGACGGUGAACGGAAAUCUCCCACUACAAAUGUCAGACGAUUCAGACGCAAUGAAUGUGGCUUUGUUGAAGAUGUCCCAUCAUCCAAGAAGAUUCUUGCUGCACUAAGGACUGGUAGUGAUAAAUAAAGGAAAUGUAUUGCUUUCACAUGCUAAUAGGGGAAGCAAAGAUGGUGAUAUGAUUGUAGUUGAAGUAAAGACAUGGUGAUCAACCACAUGAGUAAUAGAAUUCAUCUUGGUACCUUUGUUGCAUCACAUGAGUUUUUUCCCAACAAAAGGUAAAUAAUAUGAAAUAUAUUUGCGCAAGGGAAGUAGCAUUUUUCAUUGUAUGUCAGGGAUUAAAGAACCUCUAGCUUUGGUUUGUUGAAAGUGUGGUUCAAUUUAUAAGUGUACAUUGUUGUACACAUAUGAAGAGCUUACAUGUGUACAUAUUAGUACACCUAUAAUACAAGUGUACAUUGUUGUACACGAGUGACAAAAAUUACAUGUGUAUAAAAUAGCCCAC